rnacentral:lncRNA from 1 species
UCCGAGACAUGUUGUUGUACCCGACCAUAUUUUGGAUAUUAGAGAGUAUUGCUCCAGUUGCCCUGUUCGGGUAGGAGACUGGAUUUUGCCCGUGAAUUUGCUAGCUCUGCGCAAGCUGGAGGAUUUCGAUGUGGUUUUGGGCAUGGAUUGGCUAACUAAGUAUUAUGCCACAAUCGAUUGUAAGAAUCGCAUGGUUACUUUUAGAGAACCGGGGCAGACUGAGGUGAUAUUUAGAGAAUACUGGAGUUCGCUUUUUGCGAUGACGAUCAGCUCGUCUUGAGCUAGGCAGCUGAUCGGCAGAGGCUGCAUAGCCUACUUGGCUAGUGUUGUUGCGAGG